UACAGAGGUCUCAAGCGUUGUUCGGAUUCAUUGGGCGUAAAGGGUGCGUAGGCGGCGCGGUAAGUCGGGUGUGAAAUCUCGGAGCUUAACUCCGAAACUGCAUUCGAUACUGCCGUGCUUGAGGACUGGAGAGGAGACUGGAAUUUACGGUGUAGCGGUGAAAUGCGUAGAUAUCGGGAGGAACACCGGUGGCGAAGGCGGGUCUCUGGGCCGAUACUGACGCUGAGGAGCGAAAGCGUGGGGAGCAAACAGG
rnacentral:rRNA from 1 species